GUGGAGGUGGUGACACCACGCUGCUGUCCUCAGGGUGGAGGUGGUGACACCACGCUGCUGUCCUCAGGGUGGAGGUGGUGACACCACGCUGCUGUCCUCAGGGUGGAGGUGGUGACACCACGCUGCUGUCCUCAGGGUGGAGGUGGUGACACCACGCUGCUGUCCUCAGGGUGGAGGUGGUGACACCACGCUGCUGUCCUCAGGGUGGAGGUGGUGACACCACGCUGCUGUCCUCAGGGUGGAGGUGGUGACACCACGCUGCUGUCCUCAGGGUGGAGGUGGUGACACCACGCUGCUGUCCUCAGGGUGGAGGUGGUGACACCACGCUGCUGUCCUCAGGGUGGAGGUGGUGACACCACGCUGCUGUCCUCAGGGUGGAGGUGGUCACACCACGCUGCUGUCCUCAGGGUGGAGGUGGUGACACCAUGCUGCUGUCCCCAGGGUGUGAGGGUCAGGGUGGAGGUGGUGACACCAUGCUGCUGUCCCCAGGGUGUGAGGGUCAGGGUGGAGGUGGUGACACCACACUGCUAACCCCAGGGUGUGAGGGUGGAGGUGGUGACACCAUGCUGCUGUCCCCAGGGUGUGAGGGUCAGGGUGGAGGUGGUGACACCACGCUGUUGACCCCAGGGUGUGAGGGUCAGGGUCAGGGUGGAGGGAGAGCCCUGC